rnacentral:rRNA from 1 species
GAUGAACGCUGGCGGCGUGCUUAACGCAUGCAAGUCGAACGGAAAGGCCCAAGCUUGCUUGGGUACUCGAGUGGCGAACGGGUGAGUAACACGUGGGUGAUCUGCCCUGCACUUCGGGAUAAGCCUGGGAAACUGGGUCUAAUACCGGAUAGGACGAUGGUUUGGAUGCCAUUGUGGAAAGUUUUUUCGGUGUGGGAUGAGCUCGCGGCCUAUCAGCUUGUUGGUGGGGUAAUGGCCUACCAAGGCGUCGACGGGUAGCCGGCCUGAGAGGGUGUACGGCCACAUUGGGACUGAGAUACGGCCCAGACUCCUACGGGAGGCAGCAGUGGGGAAUAUUGCACAAUGGGCGCAAGCCUGAUGCAGCGACGCCGCGUGGGGGAUGACGGCCUUCGGGUUGUAAACUCCUUUCGCUAGGGACGAAGCGUUUUUGUGACGGUACCUGGUGAAGAAGCACCGGCUAACUACGUG